rnacentral:SRP_RNA from 1 species
CUGUGCUAAGCGGGGAGCUAGUGGUGCCCUUUACCCGCAACCCACUACAGCGGGGCCGAAUACCUUUUGGACGGCUGUCAGGGUGGAAAGCAGGCACUCGUAAGGAACGUAGAUACCAAGGUCUCGUGCAAUAUUUACCUGUGAACCGUGUCAGGGCAGGGAUGCAGCAGCACUAAGCGGAGUUAAGUAUGUGCCACGAGGAAGCUUUGGAGUAGUCACCUGCGGGGAUACCGUUUCGGUCUUGUCAGUCAACCAAGGUUGCACAG